rnacentral:rRNA from 1 species
GAACGGGUGAGUAACACGUGGGUAAUCUGCCCUGCACUCUGGGAUAAGCCUGGGAAACUGGGUCUAAUACUGGAUAUGACCUUUCUCCUUAUGGGGUUUGGUGGAAAGUUUUUCGGUGUAGGAUGAGCCCGCGGCCUAUCAGCUUGUUGGUGGGGUGAUGGCCUACCAAGGCGACGACGGGUAGCCGGCCUGAGAGGGUGAUCGGCCACAUUGGGACUGAGAUACGGCCCAGACUCCUACGGGAGGCAGCAGUGGGGAAUAUUGCACAAUGGGCGGAAGCCUGAUGCAGCGACGCCGCGUGAGGGAUGACGGCCUUCGGGUUGUAAACCUCUUUCAGCAGGGACGAAGCGUAAGUGACGGUACCUGCAGAAGAAGCACCGGCUAACUACGUGCCAGCAGCCGCGGUAAUACGUAGGGUGCGAGCGUUAUCCGGAAUUACUGGGCGUAAAGAGCUCGUAGGCGGUUUGUCACGUCGUCUGUGAAAUCCUAGGGCUUAACCCUGGACGUGCAGGCGAUACGGGCUGACUUGAGUACUACAGGGGAGACUGGAAUUUCUGGUGUAGCGGUGGAAUGCACAGAUAUCAGGAAGAACACCGAUGGCGAAGGCAGGUCUCUGGGUAGUAACUGACGCUGAGGAGCGAAAGCAUGGGUAGCGAACAGGAUUAGAUACCCUGGUAGUCCAUGCCGUANACGGUGGGCGCUAGGUGUGGGGUUCCUUCCACGGGCUCCGCGCCGUAGCUAACGCAUUAAGCGCCCCGCCUGGGGAGUACGGCCGCAAGGCUAAAACUCAAAGAAAUUGACGGGGGCCCGCACAAGCGGCGNNNCNUGUGGAUUAA